ensembl:lncRNA
UGAAUUUGAAGAGUGAAUUGCUUGAAUAAGAGAAGAUCUGAAUGUAACAUUAACAUUUUAAAAAUAUUUUGCGAAUUUUAUUAUUAUUAUUUUAUUAUUAUUAUUAUUAUUAUUAAGCUCAAUUAAUGUGAGAUUAGAUCAAAUUGAAGAUUUCAUUAAAUAUUUGUGGCCCUUUUUUCAAAAAUAAAAUUCAAAAUCUAUCAUUUAUUUAUUAUUAUUAUUCUUAAUUUUAUAAUAACCUACUACUUAGCUUCGCUUUUCCAGUAGAUAGAAAGCAACUGUAGUAGAGAAUGCAUUUAAGACAGAACUGCAGUGUGUGUGUGUGUGUGUGUGUGUAGUUUCGCAGUUCUUAGCAGAGUGCAUGCAACUGUCAAGGUGAUUCAGUGUCCUAAAACCUGCCAUUUCUCUCACCUCACCUUCCCUGUAGGUGGAUUUGCAGGUUCAAAGCACAAAUCAGCAGUGCGGUCACACACACACAUACACACACACAGAGGGAGAGACAGAGAGAGAGAAAGCACCAUCAACACGCAAACACACUAGCGCAUAUUCACGGACACAGUUCAUCACCAUAUCCAGCGUACAUCUAACCAUGUCUCCCUUCUGCUGCUGGCUCUCAGAGUCACAAUUGUGGCUCGACAGAUCUGCAGUUGUGUGACAGUGCUCUCUUUCACACACAGAUCAAUUCAGAACUGCCCCAAUCAGCCCCUGAGGACUGGCCAUCAUCAUCCACAGAAGCUUAUCUUAGAUGAGGCAGCUGUCUUUGUAAUUUGCACCAUAGGUUUGCUGCAACCUCCAUCUGAACCCAAGAACGGUGCUUGCUGGGGGAACACUAAAAAUUUAUCACAACGCAUUCUGAUGUGUACAUUUUUAUAAUUGUUAUGACUGAGGUUUGUAAUAAAACAGUUGCAUUAAAUUAGAUAGUACUUUUGGACUGUAUAUUUCAUCAUAAGAGUUGGUUGACAGGGAUGAUUAAUAAUUAAAACACAUUGGAACAUAAUUAAAACACUAUUAAUCAAGUUUUUUUUAAAACUAAUUUAAUUCAUUUUUUCAUUAACUAACUAGUUUCAGUCAUCUUGAAGAUCAUGUAUCAUUGUGAUUAGUAUUUGGGAAAUUGAUCCAAAACAACAACCAGUUCCCAGGCUACUAAUUAGAGUCCGUCCUUUAAUUACAGUACAUUGUAGUUGCUACAUUGUAAUGUUUGCUAUUGAACGUUAAAUUAAACAAGCAAAACUAAACAAGCAAAUACAAGUUGACAAAUUAACAAAUGUAAGUGUUCCAAUGGCUGAUUUCCAAAAAAUGUCAUCCCAAUUCUAAAUACAGAUACAGCUAUGUUAUUUAUUCAUGCUAAAACAGGAUACAGGAAAAAAAGAAGAAAAAAACAAAUUGAAACUUUUCAAAUGUUGUUUGUGCUAUUUGUUAUUAAAAAUGUUUUGAGCACAUUAUAGCAGUGUCGUCUUUUUUUCUUUGUCUUUUAUUUAUUGUUAAUACUUGUAAACGUAACUGAAAUCACUACAUUAUUCAUCCAGUCCUUUUUGCCAAAAACUUUUUUUUUUCCUGUUAAAAAAGAUAACUGCCAUUUUUCCCAUAACAAAGUUGAACUACUGAUCUUCAUAAGGCCAAUAUAAAUGCAAACACAGAAUACUGAAACUUUACUAUUAACUUUAACAAAUGUUGCUUCCUGAAAUAUAAUUUUCAAAGGAAGAAAUGUCAACCUCAUAAUGGGACUGAACAGAAAGG